AAAGAGCGCGUAGGCGGGUUCUUAAGUGAGGGGUGAAAGUCCGAGGCUCAACCUCGGAACUGCCUUUCAUACUGGGAACCUUGAGUGUGGGAGAGGCGAGUGGAAUGGUCGGUGUAGCGGUGAAAUGCGUAGAUAUCGAUCGGAACACCCAUGGCGAAGGCAGCUCGCUGGCCUAUAACUGACGCUGAGGCGCGAAAGCGUGGGGAGCAAACAGGAUUAGAUACCCUUGU
rnacentral:rRNA from 1 species